rnacentral:tRNA from 1 species
UCCCUGGUGGUCUAGUCACUAAGACUCUGUGCUCCCAAUGCAUAAGACCUGGGUUCAAUCCCUGGUCAGGGAA